UACAGAGGGUGCAAGCGUUGUUCGGAAUUAUUGGGCGUAAAGGGCGCGUAGGCGGUGCGGUAAGUCUGUAGUGAAAUCUCUGGGCUCAACUCAGAGUCUGCUAUAGAAACUGCCGUGCUUGAGUGUGGGAGAGGUGAGUGGAAUUCCCGGUGUAGCGGUGAAAUGCGUAGAUAUUGGGAAGAACACCGAUGGCGAAGGCAGCCCCCUGGGUCAAGACUGACGCUCAUGCACGAAAGCGUGGGAGCAAACAGG
rnacentral:rRNA from 1 species